rnacentral:lncRNA from 1 species
GACGCACACACACAAACACACACCUCCAUCAGACACACACACACAAACACACACCUCCAUCAGACGCACACACACAAACACACACCUCCAUCAGACACACACACACAAACACACACCUCCAUCAGACACACACACACACACAAACCUCCAUCAGACACACACACACAAACACACACCUCCAUCAGACACACACACACACAAACCUCCAUCAGACACACACACACAAACACACACCUCCAUCAGACACACACACACACACACAAACACACACCUCCAUCAGACGCACACACACAAACACACACCUCCAUCAGACACACACACACAAACACACACCUCCAUCAGACACACACACACACACAAACCUCCAUCAGACACACACACACAAACACACACCUCCAUCAGACACACACACACACGUCUCCAUCAGACACACACACACAAACACACACCUCCAUCAGACACACACACACACACACACACAAUGGACUGAGGGUCUUGGGCCCAUGCAACCAUGAACUAUGUGUGAUGAGUUCUCAUCUCACAUCUCUAUAUUCUGGGCCUCUGGUGGUCUCUAUUGGUCACUGUAUGUAAUUACAUUUCUAUUCAACCUCAGGUACGAGGCUGGAAUUGAUUCAUUCAAUAUAUUUGAAAGAAAACUGAUAUUAUUUCAAUUAAAGUCUGCAUUGAACCAUCCUAUUGCAGCUGCUGCUACUGUAUAUUAUAAACAUUUCUGGUUUUUGUUGAUCUGUUUAUGCUUGACUAACCGACAGUCAGGGGCCAAGACUCUAAAGCAAAACCUUUCUCCCCUCUAAGCCAAAGUGGAAUUAUUUUCUUACUGGUGGUGAUGGCAGAAUUCCCAGUACAGAAUUCGGGCCUCUGAGCUCCGAUACCGCUCCUGAAUCCCAUACCCGGCAAGGCAUCAUCGCUUUCCUGGUGGUCACAGUGGAGGACACCCCUUCUAGGUCAAGUCAAGUCAAGUCAGACACACACACACACACACACACACACACACACACACACACACACACACACACACACACACACACACACACACACACACACACACACACACACACACACACACACACACACACACACACACACACACAGCCUCAUAGGUUCAUACACACACACAGCCUCAUAGGUUCAUACACACACACAGCCUCAUAGGUUCACACAGUGUAAGUAAGCUACUCCCCGAGCCCAGAUAGGAUUUAGUUAUUAAAAAUGAGUAGUACUACUGUUGAGUAAAAGUUAGACAGUGUUAAUGUGACUACUGACUAAGGCUUCUCAUACUGAACUUGAAGGAUCCCUCACACAGAGGACAAAACAGAAAAGAUGUCCGAUAAAACUGCAGUUCCUCACAAUAAAAUGACAGCUCUUAAGAUUGUUAAAAUAGAAUGAAGACCAGCUCUAUAUAUGACAUUAAAACAAAAUGUUUUGAGCUGAUUGGAACUCUGGAUCCAAUUCAUUAAGACAGGCCUUUGAAGGCGUUAGAAAAGUCCCCUUUAUCAAUAUGUUCUCUGGGCUGGCUCAGUCCAGUCCAACCUGCAUUGAGUAAUAUGUGGAUUCAAGCUUCAGGUAGAUAGCUGUGAGGAAAGGCUCUCUUUUCUUUCUCUGACUCCCCAGUAAACAUGAACCCAUUGGCCCCAUGUGGGUAUUCGGUGGGCAAGGUGGGCUAGCCCACACCAACCCCACACCAACCCAACACAGGCUAGCCCACACCAACCCCACACCAACCCAACACAGGCUAGCCCACACCAACCCCACACCAACCCAACACAGGCUAGCCCACACCAACCCCACACCAACCCAACACAGGCUAGCCCACACCAACCCCACACAGGCUAGCCCACACCAACCCCACACCAAUCCAACACAGGCUAGCCCACACCACACCAACCCCACACCAACCCAACACAGGCUAGCCCACACCAACCCCACACAGGCUAGCACACACCAACCCCAAACCAAUCCAACACAGGCUAGCCCACACCAACCCCACACCAACCCAACACAGGCUAGCCCACACCAACCCCACACCAACCCCACACCAACCCCACACAGGCUAGCACACACCAACCCCAAACCAAUCCAACACAGGCUAGCCCACACCAACCCCACACCAACCCAACACAGGCUAGCCCACACCAACCCCACACAGGCUAGCCCACACCAACCCCAAACCAAUCCAACACAGGCUAGCCCACACCAACCCCACACCAACCCAACACAGGCUAGCCCACACCAACCCCACACCAACCCAACACAGGCUAGCCCACACCAACCCAACACAGGGUAGUCUACAUCAACACAACACAGGCCAGCCCACACCAACCCAACACAGGCUAGCCCACACCAAUCCCACACCAACCCAACACAGGCUAGCCCACACCAACCCAACACAGGCUAGCCCACACCAACACAACACUGGCCAGGCCACACCAACACAGGCCAGCCCACACCAACCCAACACAGGCUAGCCCACACCAAUCCCACACCAACCCAACACAGGCUAGCCCACACCAACCCAACACAGGCUAGCCCACACCAACCCAACACAGGCUAGCCCACACCAACACAACACUGGCCAGGCCACACCAACACAGGCUUGCCCACACCAACACAACACAGGCUUGCCCACACCAUCCCAACACAGGGUAGCCCACACCAACACAACACGGCAAGGUCACACCAACCCAACACAGGGUAGCCCACACCAACCCAACACAGGGUAGCCCACACCAACACAACACGGGCAAGGUCACACCAACACAACACGGGCAAGGUCACACCAACACAACACGGGCAAGGUCACACAAACACAACACGGGCAAGGUCACACCAACACAACACGGGCAAGGUCACACCAACACAACACGGGCAAGGUCACACCAACACAACACGGGCAAGGUCACACCAACACAACACGGGCAAGGUCACACCAAGCCCAGCUAGAGGCGGGGGCUCAUUAGAAUAUUUGGGGGCGUGGUUUACACACAGUUGUUUUUGUGCAGCCGUUACUGAGAGUGUGGUUCCUGUUGAAGUGUGGUUCCUGUUGAAGUGUGGUUCCUGUUGAAGUGUGGUUCCUGUUGAAGUGUUCUGUGUUGUGCUGCCUAUAUCCUGAUGAUCUUGUAAACGGCUAAUGAUCAAGUCUUUAGAAACACUUAUAUAAAUGUUUCUCUUGUUAAAUAUAUUCUGUAUGUAUGAUGGUAAUAACUUGGUUGUCUUUCUGAAAAAAUUGUAUCACGUUCCAUAAAUACCUGUAAGAGUAGAAAAUUAUGCAAUUUAUGCAUUGAAUUAAGUUUAAAUAAAUAAAUAUUAAAUAGCGAAGGCGCAUCAGCCCAAUGUGGGCAGCUUACAAGGGGUCAAUAUUUUAGCCUGCAUUGGGUUCAAAUCGUGACAAUUUGGACAUGUUUGCUGGGAAAAGAAGGGUGUAUUUCAGACAAAGUGACAGCUGCCUCACCAGAUCUGGGCUGCCCACACUGAGCCACACUGGGCA